GAUUUUUUUUCGAAGCCGCGACUGAAUAACGAAGGCGAAGAGUCCUGCAUAGGCGCUAAUUGACCGCAGUGUGUGCUAACGCCGCAUAUACACAUUAAGGCUCUACUGGAAUUCGAGAUAUCUGCUAAUAUUAACCACCUCUUCCUCGUAAAAGCAAACGUUCCUGCUAUUCAUUACGGAUAGUCUAGGUCGGUAUAUCCAGCAGAAACAAAGUCGUAGCCCGUGGCUUUAAAAAUCUGUAUGAUUUCGGUUGAUUUAUAGAAACAUAUAGCAAUGUGGUUAAUUAACAGUCAAAUCAAGGAUAAUCAAAGGAGAUAAGCUUUUUUAUUCUUGAAGAAGUCAUUCGCACGGUGUGUAGAUACUUGGCAAGAAAACGUUCACCGCACCUGACAACGUCGAUACGAAGCCGCGAUGAUGACGCUGCUGUAUGCAUAUACGACUAAGUCUGAGAGAGCUUCGAGAGAAGCAGCUUACUGUGAAACUUCAGGGGUCCGGAUAAAACAAGAAGACGCGAACCGAAAGGUUUUUGCUUUUGGCUUUCAAGAUCAACAUGGUAUUCUACCGUUAAACCCCCUUUGAAGCCGACAACGUAAUGAACCAAAAGUAUUACGCGCUCUUUUUAUGUGAGCUGAAGUGGAAAAUCUUCCAGAAGAUUCUCUUGUUGCAAGAAAGGAAUAGUCCGAAGCGACUUCCUACUUCCGCGGUCGUUGUCGACAAAUGCUCGGCAAUGAAAAGAAUGAGCUUGUACAGCUUUGAGAGAUGGUGUCAGCGGCAGCGGUGAUGGUUGUUACCUUUUCUGUGAGCCCAGAAAAUCGCUGAAGAACGAAUGUUAGGAUGGCAGCGUCAACUCAACGGAAAAAACGGUUUGCCACCAACGCUAGUCCGAUGCUCUAUAAGCACCGCCGACUACACAUAGUAUUGCAACGGAGCCACAAACACCUUUCAAAUUCAUUUGAAAUCAAAUAAAGCAGAUGCUCUGAUUUAAGUGACGAUAAUGCUCUGAGAGGUUUGAGAUGGGGCAGUGCUG